UUUUUGCAUGCAGAAAAGUGUUCACUAAUCUUUGUUAAAUAUGGAAAAUGUGUUCAAUUUUUAUCUUAAUUAGUGUCCCAUCCUCAACAGAAAGUUACAUUUACAUCUACACAGAAAGCUUUGAGGAAGAAGAUAUAGAACAGAAAAAUCACGAAAUCUUCGGAAAAUGAUUAAGGAAAAACCUCUUAAGUAUGCAAAAUAUCUACAAAAGAGAGAAAAAGAGACAAAAGCAAGAAUAAAGAAGAAAAAAAAAGAGAAAACAAUUACAGCGGCAAAAGCCGAAUGAGAGCAACUCAGUCGGCGUUACAUAAAAGGAUUUUUUACUUCGACUGCAGUUAAUUUAGCGCAAGUUAUCAAAUAAAAAAAAGACUUUCUGAAUCUUCAAACAGAAAAAACAAAAUGUGACGAAGUAAAUAGAAUCUCUCUCCCUACUCUACGAAUGUAUAAACACUUCAUUUUAUAAACAUUUAAACUAAAUGUUUCAUUUCUUAAUUUCCAAACUUCAAAAAUGCUAAUGUUUUUAAUGUAGGUGUGUGUUAAGCAGCAUGAUGCUUAUCUUUUAAAAAAAUUUCCGUGCGUUUAAAAAAAUACUAGAACGCUCAUUAAAGUAAUUUUCUUAAAACAUUAUUUUUU